UGUGUAGGCGGAACAAUAAGUCAGUGGUGAAAUCUUUCAGCUUAACUGGAAAACUGCCAUUGAUACUGCUGUUCUUGAGUUCAGUUGAGGUGGGCGGAAUGUGUAAUGUAGCGGUGAAAUGCUUAGAUAUUACACAGAACACCGAUUGCGAAGGCAGCUCACUAAACUGUUACUGACGCUGAGGCACGAAAGCGUGGGGAGCGAACAGGAUUAGAUACCCUGGUAGUCC
rnacentral:rRNA from 1 species